UUCAACAUAAACAUAAUUAUCAUAUACAGAAGAUAAUGUGUGAUCUCUAAAACAAAUACUAGUAUUUAGUAUUUACAUGAAGCCACAAGCCACGACCAUAUAUACUCUAGCCUGUAAUGAUCCUAAGACACCCUCCUAGUCCAUGUUACCAUCUAUAAUAUAACUCUAAUAAAAGAGAUGCCCAAUGAAAACCCUAUUAUACCCAUACCUAAAAUGUUGACACUUGGCACUUUUCUCGAUUUUUUUGGUCAUUUUGCCCCUCCAUUUUUUUCCUCUGUUGGUUCUCCCAAUUCUCCCACAUGUUUUGUUGUCCAACCUUCUCCGUUCAUGUCAUUGUAUACCUUUGUGUACCUGCAACACGCUUCCUCCCAUGUCCCAUCCAGAAAACCCCAUUCCACUUUUGUAUCAUUGUUUAUUUCUUCCUUCUUUAGUUUCCUUCGUUCUUCAGUUUCCCUCUGGUCAUCCUUUUUUUGCCACUUUGUUGUUGUGAAUGUUUGGUUGCAGAGUCAAGGUUUUACUUUUGUUAUGUUUUCUGUUAUGCAUGUUGUUCGUCGUAAGUUAUAGUUCUUUGUUUCGUGUAUUUGCUUCCUUACUGAUUUUUCCGCUUUGAUUUUGCUUCUUUACUGAUUUUUUUGCUUGCAAGGCUAUCCAGGAAGAAGCAUCCAGUAGGCAAGUUUUUAUUUUGUCUGUUGUCAUGCAUGUUUGCUUCGUAACUGAUAGCCUCACUUUGUUUGUUUCAGGUAGGGACACUUUUCACUUUGUUUGUUUCUGGUAGUGACGUUUUUCCACUGACAUUGACUCAUAUUUAUGCAUGUUUGCUUUCUUACUGAUUUUGUCACUUGCAACUGCAUCCAGGAAGCACCAUCCAGCAGGCAAGUUUUUUAUUUGUUUGUUUUCAUGCUUCAUAACUGAUAGCCUCACUUUGUUAGUUUCAGGUAGUGACACCUUUCACUUUGUUUGUUUCUGGUAGUGACACUUUUCCACUGACAUUGACUCAUAUUUAUGCAUGUUUGCUUUCUUACUGAUUUUGUCAGUUGCAACUGCAUCCAGGAAGAACCAUCCAAUAGGCAAGUUUUUUAUUUGUCUAUUGUCAUGCUUCAUAACUGAUAGCCUCACUUUGUUUGUUUCAGGUAGUGACGCUUUUCCACUAACAUUGACUCAUACUUAUUCAUGUUUGCUUUCUUAUUGAUUUUGUCACUUGCAACUGCAUCCAGGAAGAACCAUCCAGUAGGCAAGUUUUUUAUUUGUGUGUUGUCAUGCAUAUUUGCUUCAUAACUGAUAGCCUCACUUUGUUUGUUUCUGGUGGUGAUGCUUUUCCAUUUACAAGGUCAUCCCGGAAGAAGCAUACAUCAGGCAAGUUUUUAUUUUGUCUAUUGUCAUGCAUGUUUGCUUCGUAACUGAUACUCUGACUUUGUUUGUUGCCAGUGGUGAUGCUUUUCCAUUUACAAGGUCAUCCAGGAAGAAGCAUACAGAACUAUUUUUGUGUGCCUAAUACGAUAUUCUUUUCCUAUUAAAUAUUUUCUUCUUUGUUAUUUUGUUCGUUUUGCCAUUGACAUUCAUCAUUGAUAUUCAGUGCAGUUCUGACCAUAAAUGUUUUGGUCCAAAUCGUUUUUUACAUGUCUUAUUCAAUGUUUAGCAUGUACUUUAGUCUGUUUAUAAAAGUUUUUUGUGUUUUCCAAUCUGUUGCCUAAUGUUAUUCAACCUUUGUGUUGGUUGAUGACAAGAUCAGUUGAUUUAAAUUGUUCUUAAUAGCUGAGGAAUGUCAUUUGUUGUUUGAUCUCUAUUUUUCUUCUUUCUUUCCAUCAUUAUUGUUGUUUUUUUGUGUCAUCAUUGUGUUAGUUGUUGUCGUCUUAUCUGUUUGUUUUGUGGUCAAAAUUAUACAUUGUUGUUUCAGUUUUAUGCAGAAUUAUGGCUCGUAUUCCGGAUAAGAUAAAAGACAUCAAUGGAUCAAAAGAAACCCUUAAACUUGCUGUGAGGAUAACUGAUCUUUGGUUUGUUGGGACACCCGACAAGAUUGAACAAGCUGAGAUGGUUAUAGUGGACUCUGAUGUAUGAUUUUAUGUUGUGUUUGAUCCAUUAUUUAUCAUUCUAACAGUUUGUUAUAUACUUUGCCCAUGACCAGGGUGAUGAAAUCCAUGUUGUUUGUAAGCAAGAUCAGCUAAAGUCUUGGAAGAUGGAUUUGAAGGAAAAUUGUACUUAUGUCAUGCACAAUUUUAAAGUCAUCAAGAAUGAUGGUCAAUAUAGAGUUCGUGACCACCAAUAUUAAUUAGCAUUUACUAGAGUUACUGUUGUUAGGCAAUCUGAUUUGGAUGGUCUUCCUUUUAAAAAAUUCAAAUUUGCUGAAUUUGCCAAUGUCAUUGUUGGUCGCUUCCAACCUGGCCUGUUGGUUGACAUUAUUGGUGUCGUUGAUGAGGUGAUCUUCCGCCAUGUUUCCUCAAGGAGUACAAGGGUUGUUUUUAAACUGAAGGACUUGAGGUUAUGUUGUCCAAUUUACCCUUUCAUUUUUAAAAUUGGGUCCUAUCUUAUUAAUGGUUGACUCAAUUUAAUUUGCUUGCUUUGUAAUGUUAUGUCCAUGUUGGAUUAUUGUAGACUAAUACUGUCAUCAUUAUUUGUUUAUGAUAGUGACCAAUUGGUAUCUUGCACUCUCUAGGAAGAUUAUUGCUUGCAGUUUUAAGAGUACUUAAAUGAGCUUGAAAAUGAUGGCCCCACAAUUGUUCUGUUGACCCAUGCUAGAAUUAAAGAAGCCUAGGGAUCCUAUCCACCCUCAGUGAAUAAUUCUUUGAAGGCUUCAAAGUUACUUAUUAAUCAACCGAUGGUUGAAAUUCAAGAAUUCAAGCAGAGGCAUUGAGGUCCGGUCAGUUUUGACACCUCGUGGUCAAGGCAAUUCUCAAAUUUCAGGUUCUACCAAUUAUCAUCAAAGGAAAUUGUUUGUGUUACUAUUGGCACGAUUACCAGAAUUGUUAUGGAAAAUCAUUCAUGGUGUUAUCCAGCUUGCAUUCAGUGCCACAAAAAAACUGAUAUAAACACCGCUCCGUUCACAUGCGCAUGUGGCAAAUAUAAUGAGCGAGCUGUGCUAAGGUAUAGACUUGAGGUGAUGGUCAACCACAAGGAGGAAAGCACAAAAUUUCUACUCUGGGACCAUGAAUGUACUAACUUGAUUGGGCAAUCAGCUGAUGAAGUUAAUAGGCUAAAAAUAGCAGUAGGUCCCUGCAUUAUCAAACAUCACUGUUGAAUCUUUAAAUUAUGUUUUUUUUGUUUACUAUCCAAUCUCAGAACAGAUGUUUAGUGCACAAACUGAUUAUAUUUGCGCAAGGAUGGUGACAUUGAUUUAAAUGCUUCGCCAGAAGUGCUUGAUAAGUUGCUAGGUUAUGUGCUUGCCUUUAAAGUCAAGGUUCAACCAAAGUUCAGGAAUGUUGUUUUUCUGAAAUACUCAAGUGACUUAAGUUUGAUUAACACUGUGAUGGACUUACUGCCUGAUGCUGAGGCAUCUUCCAAGAUCCAUAUUCCAAUCCUUGAUUCCAAUGAUCCUCCCCAGCAUGAAUUUGCAUCUUUCAAGAUCCAUAUUCCAAUCCUCGAUUCCAAUGAUCCUCCCCAGCAUGAAUCUAUAAGAUGAAAUUAUGAUGCACACUUUUUAAUCUGAUAUUUGUUGCGUCUAUCCCAUUUUAAAACUGCACCAAUGUCAACUUUCAAUUCAACUUAUUAAUUGGUGUAUCUUUUAUGCAGCAAUCCCUAUCUGGAACAGCAGAUCAUGAUCCGCUUCUCGGACUCCCCUUAACAGCAGACAUCUCAGGAAUGUGAUGAAGAAGUAAGAAGCUCUCAGAUUUCACCCGGGCAACUUUCAUCUAACAAAUUAAGGAAACAUGCUAAAAUUGAAUGAAUGUGGUUACUUGGAAGUUUUCAAAAUCGCUUCUUAUUUUGACUGUUACUUGCAAGUUGUAAAAAAACUCUCAGAUUUACUUCUUUUCCUGUGGUAUCCCUGCCUGACAUUUAGUAAACAUUGCCAGAUGUUAUGGCUCUCCAAUGUGGGAUGUAAAGAUAACUUUAUAUUUUGCAACUCAUUUUGUAUUCGAAUGUUGUGCAAUUUAAA